UACGUAGGGUGCAAGCGUUGUCCGGAAUUAUUGGGCGUAAAGAGCUCGUAGGCGGCCUGUCGCGUCGGCUGUGAAAACUCAGGGCUCAACCCUGAGCCUGCAGUCGAUACGGGCAGGCUAGAGUCCGGCAGGGGAGACUGGAAUUCCUGGUGUAGCGGUGAAAUGCGCAGAUAUCAGGAGGAACACCGGUGGCGAAGGCGGGUCUCUGGGCAACAACUGACGCUGAGGAGCGAAAGCGUGGGGAGCAAACAGG
rnacentral:rRNA from 1 species